rnacentral:misc_RNA from 1 species
AACGGUCUAUACCUGCGGUACCUGCGGAAGGAUCAUUAAAGAGAAAACUGCCCUUUGGGUAGAUCUCCCACCCUUUGUUUACCUUACCUUUGUUGCUUUGGCAGGCCCGUCUUCUGACCACCGGCUUUAGCUGGUCCGUGCCUGCCAGAGGACCCCAAACUCUUAAUUUUAAGUUGUCCGAGUCUUAUAAAAUAGUAAAAACUUUUAGCAAUGGAUCUCU